AAACUUCACACUGGAGGCAACUCCGAUGAGGGAAUUCCUAGUGCUAGCACAUUAGUGUUAGCUUUUCUUAAGCGUAGAUAACUUAAGGAAUAAGGGCUGGGUAAGACGGGUGCCAGCCGCCGCGGUAAUACCCGCAGCCCAAGUGGUGGUCGAUUUUAUUGAGUCUAAAACGUUCGUAGCCGGUUUGGUAAAUCCUUGGGUAAAUCGAGAGGCUUAACCUUUCGAAUUCCGAGGAGACUGCCAAACUUGGGACCGGGAGAGGCGAGAGGUACUUCUGGGGUAGGGGUAAAAUCCUGUAAUCCUAGAAGGACCACCGGUGGCGAAGGCGUCUCGCUAGAACGGAUCCGACGGUGAGGGACGAAGCCCUGGGUCGCAAACGGGAUUAGAUACCCCGGUAGUCCAGGGUGUAAACGCUGCAGACUUGGUGUUGGGGGCCCUUCGGGGGCGUCCAGUGCCGGAGAGAAGUUGUUAAGUCUGCUACUUGGGGAGUACGUCCGCAAGGAUGAAACUUAAAGGAAUU
rnacentral:rRNA from 1 species